CAUUCACUCAUAUUCAUAUCUGGAAGCUGUCCAUUACAACCAAAGUCUGAUCUGCUGGCCACUGAGCAGCUCCACUGGAGCGGAUGGGGUUAAGGGCCUUACUCAAGGACAGCUAAGUGG